rnacentral:rRNA from 1 species
GCUACACAUGCAGUCGAGCGAGACCUUCGGGUCUAGCGGCGGACGGGUUAGUAACGCGUGGGAACGUGCCCUUCUCUGCGGAAUAGCCACUGGAAACGGUGAGUAAUACCGCAUACGCCCUUCGGGGGAAAGAUUUAUCGGAGAAGGAUCGGCCCGCGUUAGAUUAGAUAGUUGGUGGGGUAACGGCCUACCAAGUCUACGAUCUAUAGCUGGUUUUAGAGGAUGAUCAGCAACACUGGGACUGAGACACGGCCCAGACUCCUACGGGAGGCAGCAGUGGGGAAUCUUAGACAAUGGGCGCAAGCCUGAUCUAGCCAUGCCGCGUGUGUGAUGAAGGUCUUAGGAUCGUAAAGCACUUUCGCCAGGGAUGAUAAUGACAGUACCUGGUAAAGAAACCCCGGCUAACUCCGUGCCAGCAGCCGCGGUAAUACGGAGGGGGUUAGCGUUGUUCGGAAUUACUGGGCGUAAAGCGUACGUAGGCGGAUCAGAAAGUUGGGGGUGAAAUCCCGGGGCUCAACCCCGGAACUGCCUCCAAAACUCCUGGUCUUGAGUUCGAGAGAGGUGAGUGGAAUUCCAAGUGUAGAGGUGAAAUUCGUAGAUAUUUGGAGGAACACCAGUGGCGAAGGCGGCUCACUGGCUCGAUACUGACGCUGAGGUACGAAAGUGUGGGGAGCAAACAGGAUUAGAUACCCUGGUAGUCCACACCGUAAACGAUGAAUGCCAGUCGUCGGGCAGUAUACUGUUCGGUGACACACCUAACGGAUUAAGCAUUCCGCCUGGGGAGUACGGUCGCAAGAUUAAAACUC